GGUUUCCGUAGGUGAACCUGCGGAAGGAUCAUUACCGAGUGUAGGGUUCCUAGCGAGCCCAACCUCCCACCCGUGUUUACUGUACCUUAGUUGCUUCGGCGGGCCCGCCAUUCAUGGCCGCCGGGGGCUCUCAGCCCCGGGCCCGCGCCCGCCGGAGACACCACGAACUCUGUCUGAUCUAGUGAAGUCUGAGUUGAUUGUAUCGCAAUCAGUUAAAACUUUCAACAAUGGAUCUCUUGGUUCCGGCAUCGAUGAAGAACGCAGCGAAAUGCGAUAACUAGUGUGAAUUGCAGAAUUCCGUGAAUCAUCGAGUCUUUGAACGCACAUUGCGCCCCCUGGUAUUCCGGGGGGCAUGCCUGUCCGAGCGUCAUUGCUGCCCAUCAAGCACGGCUUGUGUGUUGGGUCGUCGUCCCCUCUCCGGGGGGGACGGGCCCCAAAGGCAGCGGCGGCACCGCGUCCGAUCCUCGAGCGUAUGGGGCUUUGUCACCCGCUCUGUAGGCCCGGCCGGCGCUUGCCGAACGCAAAUCAAUCUUUUUCCAGGUUGACCUCGGAUCAGGUAGGGAUACCCG
rnacentral:rRNA from 1 species